rnacentral:rRNA from 1 species
UACGUAGGUUGCAAGCGUUGUCCGGAAUUAUUGGUCGUAAAGCGCGCGCAGGCGGUCCUUUAAGUCUGAUGUGAAAGCCCACGGCUCAACCGUGGAGGGUCAUUGGAAACUGGGGGACUUGAGUACAGAAGAGAAGAGUGGAAUUCCACGUGUAGCGGUGAAAUGCGUAGAGAUGUGGAGGAACACCAGUGGCGAAGGCGACUCUUUGGUCUGUAACUGACGCUGAGGCGCGAAAGCGUGGGGAGCAAACAGG